rnacentral:ncRNA from 1 species
UUCCGUCAAGGGCAAACCGUCGAAAGGUAGGGACGCAAAGCCACGGGCCUACGAAGAGACAAGCUCUUCAUAGCAGCCGGGCUGCCGGG